ACCACACAGCAAAGAUUGAAGACUGAUCAGGCGACAAGCAGUGAUGAGAAACUAUGAUUUCAUUUUGUCACAGUGAUUGCACUAUAGGGUCUUUGUAACACGUCCUCAAGACAACAGUAGUUCUGAGAAUACUGAGUAUUCCCUGGAAAGCUGAAUGACUCAGUGGCAGCAGUGAGAAUGUUCUAGAGGGACAGCAAGCUUUAGCAGUUUUCUGACUGUUGAGCGAAAAUGAAAGUGGCGUAGCCUCCAUUAAAGACUUCCAUUAAAGAUGUCCUUUUAGGCUUGUGGUAGUAACAUAAGGCCCAGAAACCCGUCAGCUGACACUUGUUUGGUUACAUACUUAGCUAACGGAGGCUGAGCUCGCAAACCGAGUUAGCUAACUAGCUGAUACCGUUAGCUGGCUAACCGGUUAGCCGUGUCAUAUACUAACGUGUUUUUAUCUCUCUAUUGGGCGUCAACAUCAGUAAAAACAACAAAAAUGUGUGGGCAAACGCAACAAUGCGUCCACUACGCACAAUUCCUUUAAAUCCACACACUAUAAGUUAGCCGGAUCUGCGGCGCCUUGGUCAGCCAUCUUUACUCCGCCGAUGGAACAGCUCGGGUAUGGCGUCAGCUUCCGGGUCAUAAGAGGUCAUACCUCCUCCCAGAAAGAAACUCAGGAGUUCCCAUGCUUCACCUACCUGCUUGGCCAUAGGCAAGUCUGAAGUGGAGUUAUCUGCUUCCUCUGAAAUUUCUGUUCCUUGUUCAGGUGUAUGUAAGGUUUCAUGAAUACAUACAAGUUUGUUGAUGUUUCCAACUUUGUUUCUUUAUUACUUGGACUAAAACAGUAAAUAAUACAACUAAAUGGUUUUUGCCUGUAAA